rfam:Acinetobacter sp. ANC 4149 Contig27, whole genome shotgun sequence.
AAGCGAAACACAGGCAUCCGUGCCUGUGUCUGCCAGAUGUCGUGAUCUGGUACUGACGAGCAGCGAGAU